UUAGGGAAAUCUCAGGUGACA
rnacentral:siRNA from 1 species